AUCUCAAAACUUCUGGCUAUCCGUUAUAGAUUGGAUUAAAAAUUAUGGCAUUCUCCUGCCUUUCAGUGCGAAAGAAGUCAUUUUAGGUGUCUGAGGAUUUUGUUAACAGUAAAACAGUUAAUAAUAUUUUGUUGUUGCUCACAUAUUAUAUAUACAAAUGUAGAUGUAAGAACAUAUCCCCCACAAAAUAUGGUGGGGUAAAAUAUUUAAAAUAUUAGAUAAAUAUAGAAAAGUACUCUGUAUGUUUCUUAACCCCUGUACAAAAAGUAAAAAUGGAUCAGAAAUGGCAUUUGUUAGAAGCAGCU
rnacentral:lncRNA from 1 species